GAUGAACGCUGGCGGCGUGCCUAAUACAUGCAAGUCGAGCGAACAGAUGAGGAGCUUGCUCCUCUGACGUUAGCGACGGACGGGUGAGUAACACGUGGAUAACCUACCUAUACGACUGGGAUAACUUCGGGAAACCGGAGCUACUACCGGAUAAUAUAUUGAACCGCAUGGUUCAAUAGUGAAUGACGGUUUUGCUGUCCCUUAUAGAUGGAUCCGCGCCGUAUUAGCUAGUUGGUAGGGAAACGGCUUACCAAGGCAACGAUGGGUAGCCGACCUGCGAGGGGGGUAGGCCACACGAGAACUGAGACACGCACCAGACGCCUGCGGGAGGGAGCAGUAGGGUAUCUGCCGCAAUGGGCGAAAGCAUUACGGAGCAACGCCGCGUGAGUUGUGAAGGUCCUCGGUGCGUAAAACUCUGUUAUUGGGUAAGAACAAAUGUGUAAAUAACUAAGCACUUCGUGACGGUACCUAAACAGAAAGCCACGGCUAACUACGUG
rnacentral:rRNA from 1 species